CCUACGGGUGGCUGCAGUGAGGAAUAUUGGUCAAUGGACGAGAGUCUGAACCAGCCAAGUAGCGUGAAGGAUGACUGCCCUAUGGGUUGUAAACUUCUUUUAUAUGGGAAUAAAAUGUUCCACGUGUGGGAUUUUGUAUGUACCAUAUGAAUAAGGAUCGGCUAACUCCGUGCCAGCAGCCGCGGUAAUACGGAGGAUCCGAGCGUUAUCCGGAUUUAUUGGGUUUAAAGGGAGCGUAGGUGGAUUGUUAAGUCAGUUGUGAAAGUUUGCGGCUCAACCGUGAAAUUGCAGUUGAAACUGGCAGUCUUGAGUACAGUAGAGGUGGGCGGAAUUCGUGGUGUAGCGGUGAAAUGCUUAGAUAUCACGAAGAACUCCGAUUGCGAAGGCAGUUCACUGGACUGCAACUGACGCUGAGGCUCGAAAGUGUGGGUAUCAAACAGGAUUAGAUACCCUAGUAGUC
rnacentral:rRNA from 1 species